rfam:Mycobacterium abscessus strain PAP053 genome assembly, contig: ERS075544SCcontig000010
GUGUAAGGAGGACAUGCAAAUCAAUUGGUUGAAGAUUUUCUCAGUAGAUAAAAAUCGGUAAACUCAAAGUUGUUAGAAUUGCAAGAUUCACCUGUAAACAAUACGUGUAGAGUAAUUGUUAGUGAUAACUCGUAUCGGAAAAUAGGGAAAGGUUAUAGAAGGAUGGAGUUUCUAUAAAGCAUUUACCCUAUCUGUUAUCACCUAACGCAAGUUAUCCACCAUCCAAGCGUCGAAACUGUAUGAAAACAAGGUUUUAGUUUCACCACAUCACGUUCACCUUUUGCUUUACAUGUAUCGCGAAAUGUAAACACUUAUUCAACCAAUUGAUGUCUUCCCGUUAACAAGGCCGAGCUUAAAUUUAAGCUCGGUUUUUUCUUUUAAGCAAUAAAAUAUAUUUGUAUCAAAUAAUCAUAUGUGUUAUAUUCAAGGUGCACAUUCUAUUUUAUCUUCUUUUAAAGGAGGGAAUGCUAUGCG